rnacentral:rRNA from 1 species
GACGUAGGGCGCGAGCGUUGUCCGGAUUUAUUGGGCGUAAAGAGCGUGUAGGCGGUCCGGUAAGUCUGCUGUGAAAGUCGGGGGCUCAACCCUCGAAUGCCGGUGGAUACUGUCGGGCUAGAGUGCGGAAGAGGCGAGUGGAAUUCCUGGUGUAGCGGUGAAAUGCGCAGAUAUCAGGAGGAACACCGGUGGCGAAGGCGGGUCUCUGGGCAGUAACUGACGCUGAGGAGCGAAAGCGUGGGGAGCGAACAGG